AGUGAACGCUGGCGGUAGGCCUAACACAUGCAAGUCGAACGGCAGCACAGUAAGAGCUUGCUCUUACGGGUGGCGAGUGGCGGACGAGUGAGGAAUACAUCGGAAUCUACUUUUUCGUGGGGGAUAACGUAGGGAAACUUACGCUAAUACCGCAUACGACCUACGGGUGAAAGCAGGGGAUCUUCGGACCUUGCGCGAUUGAAUGAGCCGAUGUCGGAUUAGCUAGUUGGCGGGGUAAAGGCCCACCAAGGCGACGAUCCGUAGCUGGUCUGAGAGGAUGAUCAGCCACACUGGAACUGAGACACGGUCCAGACUCCUACGGGAGGGAGCAGUGGGGAAUAUUGGACAAUGGGCGCAAGCCUGAUCCAGCCAUACCGCGUGGGUGAAGAAGGCCUUCGGGUUGUAAAGCCCUUUUGUUGGGAAAGAAAAGCAGCAGGUUAAUACCCCGCUGUUCUGACGGUACCCAAAGAAUAAGCACCGGCUAACUUCGUG
rnacentral:rRNA from 1 species